rnacentral:rRNA from 1 species
GUCCACGCCCUAAACGUUGAAUACUCGACCUUAGCGAUAUACAGUUAGGGUCCAAGCGAAAGCGUUAAGUAUUCCACCUGGGAAGUACGUUCGCAAGAAUGAAACUCAAAGGAAUUGACGGGGCCGCACAAGCGGAGGAGCAUGUGGUUUAAUUCGAUGAUACGCUAGGAACCUUACCUGGGCUUGAAUGUUAGUGAUCGAUGCAGAAAUGCAUAAUUCCUUCGGGACACAAACAAGGUGCUGCAUGGCUGUCGU